CUCCUCACCACCAACAGAACCCUCAACAAAAUGGCGCCCUUUACAUCUCCGACCUUCUUCUGAUCUACUGCAAGUCUCCGGGACCAGGCGCCAAACCUGAGGACUCUGAUAAUCAAGAAUCAAAAGAGUGACUCUGGCUUAAGAACAACAGGCUCAUGAAAAACCACUCAAAUGACCUCACAGGAUGUGGCACAAAGCAGAGAGUCUGGAGAACGAAUAUUCUCUCUGAAGUGGAAAGACCAGCUCUUUGAACGUGCUGGUUAACAUGCCCCCCCCCUCACAUCCACCACCAUGAUCCAUCUCUAUUACACAUCUCAGGAAAAGCAGUCUUAAGAAGCACUUCAGAAGUUCAGAUAGUGUCGAAGUCAGAUUUUACAGAAGUUUGCUAAAAGUCAUUUGAGUUGAACAGGCUUUCUCAAACGACUUGUUUUCCUGUAGUUCAUUUUAUUAAACAAUGAGAGGGAAAUAUUUGUAUUUAAGGAUAUGGCUGGUGUCUUCAUUUACUCAAUGUACUAAGUAUAC